UACGGAGGGUGCAAGCGUUAAUCGGAAUUACUGGGCGUAAAGCGCGCGUAGGCGGUUAUAUAAGUCAGUCGUGAAAUCCCUGGGCUUAACCUGGGCACUGCGAUUGAAACUGUAUAACUAGAGUAUGGUAGAGGUGAGUGGAAUUUCCGGUGUAGCGGUGAAAUGCGUAGAUAUCGGAAGGAACAUCAGUGGCGAAGGCGACUCACUGGACCAAUACUGACGCUGAGGUGCGAAAGCGUGGGUAGCGAACAGG
rnacentral:rRNA from 1 species